AAAACGACUCUCGGCAACGGAUAUCUCGGCUCACGCAUCGAUGAAGAACGUAGCAAAAUGCGAUACUUGGUGUGAAUUGCAGAAUCCCGUGAACCAUCGAGUUUUUGAACGCAAGUUGCGCCCGAAGCCAUUCGGCCAAGGGCACGUCUGCCUGGGCGUCACGU
rnacentral:rRNA from 1 species